UUCUGACCGUAAACGAUGCCAACUAGCGAUCCGCCGGUGGCUAUCUGGCCCUGGUGGGGAGCUUCCCGGAAACGAAAGUCUUCCGGUUCCGGGGGAAGUAUGGUUGCAAAGCUGAAACUUAAAGGAAUUGACGGAAGGGCACCACCAGGAGUGGAGCCUGCGGCUUAAUUUGACUCAACACGGGAAAACUCACCCGGCCCGGACACCGUGAGGAUUGACAGAUUGAUAGCUUUUUCAUGAUUCGGUGGUUGGUGGUGCAUGGCCGUUCUUAGUUCGUGGAUCGAUUUGUCUGGUUUAUUCCGAUAACGAGCGAGACUCCAGCCUACUAAAUAGUGCGGGCAUUGCUUCUGUGCCUCGCACUUCUUAGAGGGAUUGGCUGCGUCUAGCGGCACGAAACGGAGCAAUAACAGGUCUGUGAUGCCCUUAGAUGUCCGGGGCUGCACGCGCGCUACACUGGCAAAGGCAGCGUGCUUGUCCAUCUCCGAAAGGAGCUGGUAAACCCUUGAAAAUUUGCCGUGAUUGGGAUCGGAAAUUGCAAUUAUUUUCCGUGAACGAGGAAUUCCUAGUAAGUGCGAGUCAUCAGCUCGCGUUG
rnacentral:rRNA from 2 species